rnacentral:rRNA from 1 species
AAAAACAUAGCCUUUAGACCAUACAACUAUUGAAGGUACCGCCUGCCCAGUGAGGGCACAAGCCCUUAAACGGCCGCGUAUAAAAGCGUGCAAAGGUAGCAAAAUCAUUUGUCCUCUAAAUAGGGACCGGUAUGAAAGGCAAAAUGAGAAAGAAGCUGUCUCUUUAAGUCGGCCAAUGAACCUGAACUGCCUGUACAAAUGCAGGCAUUAAGAAACAAGACAAAAAGACCCUGUGAAACUUAAAAUGUCAAGCAAUCAUGUGCCCAAAACAUUUUCGGUUGGGGCAACCAAUGAGAAACAAACCCUCAAAACACGUCACUCAGGCAAACAGGCCAAAUGACACCAUCAAGACCCAGCAUCGCUGACAAAAGAACCAAGCUACUCCAGGGAUAACAGCGCUACAUUCUUAAAGAGUCCAUAUCAACAAGAAUACCUACGACCUCGAUGUUGGAUUAGGGUACCCCGAUGGCGCAAAAGUUAUCAACGGUUCGUUUGUUCAACGAUUAAAACCCCACGUGAUCUGAGUUCAGACCG